UCUGGCUCUAUGUGUCCCUAUGUCCCUUAGGGCAAGCACUGCAUCCUGGACGUGUCAGCCAACGCGGUGCGGCGGCUGCAGGCGGCUCAGCUGCACCCCAUCGCCAUCUUCAUCCGGCCCAAGAGCCUGCAGAACAUCCUGGAUAUCAGUAAGCGCGUGACAGAGGAGCAGGCGCGGAAAGCUCUGGAACGAGCCACCAAACUGGAACAGGAGUUCACAGAGUGCUUCUCUGGUAUGGAACUACAUAGGGACCCCAUAGGGACCCCAUAGAAACCCCAUAGGGACCCCAUAGGGACCACA